rnacentral:rRNA from 1 species
GAGUUUGAUCAUGGCUCAGAUUGAACGCUGGCGGCAGGCCUAACACAUGCAAGUCGAGCGGAUGACGGGAGCUUGCUCCUUGAUUCAGCGGCGGACGGGUGAGUAAUGCCUAGGAAUCUGCCUGGUAGUGGGGGGACAACGUUUCGAAAGGAACGCUAAUACCGCAUACGUCCUACGGGAGAAAGCAGGGGACCUUCGGGCCUUGCGCUAUCAGAUGAGCCUAGGUCGGAUUAGCUAGUUGGUGGGGUAAUAGGCUCACCAAAGGCGACGAUCCGUAACUGGUCUGAGAGGAUGAUCAGUCACACUGGAACUGAGACACGGUCCAGACUCCUACGGGAGGCAGCAGU